ACAAUCAACCAUUCUCCCUCACUCAAACAAAAUCACCAGAUAACUUGCCCCCUCUCUCUACUCUCUCUCUCUCUCUCUCUAAAACAACCACCACAACUCAUCUGCCGUUGACACCAGCCGCCACCGCACCCACCUUCGACAACCACCUCUCUCUACUCUCUCUCUCUCUCUUCACCUUAUGACGCCACCACCACCGUCUUCACCAACACCACCAUAUGCAACCACCACCGUUUCAUCUCCUCCCCUGCAACCACGACUGUCUUCACCACCGCCACCGUUGUCUUCACCAUCCAACCACCACCUCCUCCACUGCAAGCACCAACUCCAACACGCCUCCCCCAUCGUAGGGUUUGAAACAGUUGAUGUGCGUGUGAGGUAUAGUAAUAUUGAAUGACAGAGAAAAGUACUGGCGAUUAAACAAACCUGAAAAUGAAAAGUGUCCAGCGAUGAGGUGGGGAGAAAGAAUCGAGUUACGGGUGUCCGUGAAGAAGAUGACUUGCAGAGCAACCUUCAGCCGAGCUGCUAUGAAUUAGCAACUGAACGAAGGAAAAACACGCAUAACGAUUACACGACGAUGGAGAGAGCGUUGCAAGUGAAAAAGGUCAACUCGACGUUUCAUGUCAAAAUGGGUUGAGAGCAUAGCAGACGCAGCUAAGAAAGGUGAGUGUGGUCAGCAACAACUAGAUUGAAAAGGAAAUUGCUCUUCAACAAAUUUAGCAGUCUGUUAACGUGGCAAAAGCAAAAGAAAUGGCACGAAUACGGGCAGAGAAACGCCAAAACCAAAAGCUGAGAAAGUGGUAUCAUGUUACAAGAGUAAAGGGUACACAAAGAAAAAGUCAAAGGAGGGGAAAAAGUGAAACUUUUUCUUGUGUGGUUAAAGACUCUUAUAAAACUACUUGCUUGCUAAUUGUCAUACAAGUUUCUUCAGUUCUCUCAUCGGCUAUUUAGACCUUCUCUUGUUAUUUAAACACUUCUACUAAUUAACCAGCCAAAUAUUGCAGUGAUCAUUGGGUAAAAUUUGUAACUGUUACUAUGAUACAGAUUCACAGGAAAAGGUCUGUAAGCAGUCAACUGUCGAGAUCAAAGAGCUUGGGAAAGACUUGACCUUGACCUUUUGAAAAGAGACACAAGGAAAGAAGACGUUUCUCUUGCAGAUCAAAUUCGCAAUGUGAAGAACAAAAAAGCUCAGGUUUUCAUCAAUGGAGCUAUGUGAACGACAGCCCAUAACCCAUUAUCAUCCAUUCUCUUAAACGUUGUAUCAACUCUAUGUUUUAGUCAUCGUUUAUUCGUUUUUGUAAAACCAGAAGACUAUUUUGUUGGAUUCAGGUACUUUGAUAGAAGCUA